rnacentral:rRNA from 1 species
UACAUGGGGUGCAAACGUUGCUCGGAAUCAUUGGGCGUAAAGCGCGCGUAGGCGGUUAUUUAAGUUGGAUGUGAAAGCCCUCGGCUUAACUGAGGAAGUGCAUCCAAAACUGAAUAGCUAGAGUACGAAAGAGGGUCGCGGAAUUCCCGGUGUAGCGGUGAAAUGCGCAGAUAUCGGGAGGAACACCGGUGGCGAAGGCGGUUCUCUGGGCCUACCUGACGCUGAGGAGCGAAAGCGUGGGGAGCGAACAGG